CAUCAGCCACUCCUUGACCUUCUGUUCCCGGAAGCCAAGCCGCGACGAGGGCGUCAAUGGUCGAAACAUAAGGCUGAAUCACCACAGGACGGCCAGAUACCACGACCACCACACACUUCACUGAUCCGCACACGUUUCCUAUUGUGCUUGGACCAGGAGCACUUAUGGUCAGGUUCGUGGUGUCCCCAAACAUUUCAGCAUAAGGCGGCUCGCCAACAACCACAAUGGCAUAGUCAAAUUUACCCGACUUCACAAAGUUUGCAUCGGGGUUUUGGUUGUAGACGACUUGUGUGGUCGGAGCCACUGUAUUUUUCACAGCUGCGAGGAUUGUUGUACCUGUGUGCAAUUACACCAAAGUCAAGAUUAUAUAUCUAAAUUUUGUAACGCGAUGUUCUGUAUUAGCUCGCACACGAUGGAUGGCCAAACCUAGCUACUGCUGUGGUUGCAACCGAGACAAAAGAGGUUAAAGAGAACUUUAUGAGUAAACAUACCAACGGUGUGGUCGUUGCCGUUAAGGCCUUGCCAGGUGAUGGUCCAGCCACCACAUUGAUAUCCCAAGUUAUCGGCGUGUGUUCCUGCGACAAGGAUCUUCCCUGUUUUCUUGGGCAGAGGAAGCAGAGGUUUAGCACCUGUUUUACCAUUCUUGAGCAGAACUAGAGACUUCCUCACGGCUUCACGAGCAAGUUCCCUGUGUUCCUGUUAAAGUAUAUUAUUUAGUUUCAUCUUGAUGAUUUUGUAAUGAUGUAAUGGCUAAACAAAGGAUAAACAUAGCAUACCUUACUACCAAGCUGAUUGGCAAAGCUGAGGUCAGCCAGUGGUUCCUCAAAUAGUCCCAUUGUGAAUUUGACCCUUAAGAUUCUCUUCACGGCGUCAUCAAUCCUGCUUAACGGAAUAAGCUUUUUCUGUAUCUGACUGUUGAUUUCGUCUAUGAACUCGGUGUAGUUGUACGGAACCAUAAUCUGCAAAUAAAGAGACGCACAACAAUCAAGCAACCACAUGGAGGACAUACAAAAGAUAUGUAAGAUAGAAUCAGUUUUGAGACAAACCAUGUCAAUUCCAGCGCUGAUUCCUGCGUAAACAGAGUAUGAAUAGUUAAGAUGUGGAGGAGUUGUGAUCCUAUCAAUCCCCUGCCAAUCAGAGAUGACAAAACCCUGCAGCGAAACAGAAAGAAGGGACUUAGGACCAAAGCACAGAAGCUCAAAUGCAUCCACAUUGUACCAUUUCUUACCCUGAACUUCAGCUUGUUCUUGAGGAAGCCCGUGACAAGUUCCUUGUUAGCAUGCAUUCUCAAACCGUUCCAGGCAGAGUAAGACACCAUGAUAGUUGCAACACCCUUGUUUACAGCAUUGUAAUAUCCAGGCAUGUGAAUUCCAAACAGCCCCUUCGAGUCAAUCACCGUGUUGUUCUCAUCAAUCCCUCUCACUGUACCUCCAUCUCCAACAAAAUGCUUAGCACAAGCUGCAACUUUUGUCCUGUAACAGUCACAAGCUCAUUUCGGUAAGUAAAUGGAAUUUGUGUACGUAUCAUAUACUAAUGAAUUAAUUAACCUGUGAUUGAAAUGAAUUUAGUCAAAACAAUAGACUAAUAGUUUCAAUGAGACAUAAGCUCAUUUAAUCUCCCCCACAUGUAAAAGAUAUUAAUAUUUGGACAGGGACUGUUUAGAUGAAGGAGAUAAAUUCACACUGGUCCUACAGUGGCAGAAAAUUCAAACCACGACUCUUUAAGAACCUGUCCGAACCUACUAUAGAUAGAUAAACUUAAAACGUAUCACAUGGGUUGGCCAAUCACUGAUUGCCAGGCAGACUUUGCACUAGUGAAAAUUGACCACCACAUUUUAAAUGAAAGCAUGCGUGAGCAUGACUUGAGGAUUUUCCUCACUUUGAUCAUCAAGCCUCACUCAACAUACAAAAAGUUUUUAACUUGUCAUAGUGAUCAUCUUAAAACAUAUAACAGAAGAUUAAUUACAGGCAAAAUUACUUACUUUCCACCAACAAAGGGAACACCCUUUCGCUUGGUAGGAAGGUCACCUUGCAAACCGGGUAUAAUUUCAGUCAUCUGCUUGACAAUUCUAUAAUCUUCACUGUAGCUCUCGUAGCAUCUUCCCCAUCUUGGAUCCCUACAAACCUGUCAAAGCAUAUCCACAUUGCAGGAAUAUUAAACAUACACGUUUCUUGAUCAGUUUUCUGCAACGACUUCAAAAUUGUUAGCUUCAUUAUACUUACUGCAAUACACGGAGCAAAGGCAUAUGGGAUUCCGGUUGCUCUGACUUCAAGCGCGGUUGCUGCCCCAAUCCUCUUAAGAAGGUUAGGAUCCCUAAGAGAUUAGUCAAAAACACAAAAAUAAAGUUGUUCAGUUUCAUAGCCAUAUAAAACAGACCAAUUCCAACAAGAACAAAGUCCUUUCAACUUUGUGACAAGCAGAGAGCUUAGGCCUUUUAGGACAAGUACUUGCCUGGUGACUCCAAGGCCUACAUUGUGCGGGAAAAUGGUGGCACCAUACACAUUGUUGUGACCGUGAACAGCAUCAAUCCCGUAGAUCAUAGGGAUCCCAAGGCGGGUGGAAAGAGAAGCCUUUUGAAUCUCAUUGACCAUGUUCACCCAAGUUUCAGGAGUAGCUUUUUCCGAGGGCACACUUCCUCCACCACUCAACACACUCCCUACACAAAAACCCAACAAAGUCCACUCAUUUAAACAAUAUAUCGAACACUUAACACACAUAAUUCCUCCAAGCUCAUUUUCUUCUUACCAAUGAAGUAUUUCUUCAUGACUUCAGGUGUAGCGACGCUGCGUUCGAUCUGAACCAUCUGACCAAUCUUCUCUUGUAGAGUCAUACGGUUCAUCAAAUCUCUGAUUCUUGCACCCAAAGGCUGCUUUGGGUCCUUGUACUUCAAAGUACCCUCAGCAGCAGCCACGGCACAACACAGCAGCACAAGACAUAGCACCUUACUCAGAGUCCCCAUUUUUCUUCUUCCACAGUUCCACCACAACUGCAGAUAAUCAGAUCUAAGCUAUUAUUAGUCAGAGGAACUGUUCCAUUGUAGAUCAAAUAAUAUAGUG
rnacentral:lncRNA from 1 species